AUUGAACGCUGGCGGCAGGCCUAACACAUGCAAGUCGAACGGUAACAGGAAGCAGCUUGCUGCUUUGCUGACGAGUGGCGGACGGGUGAGUAAUGUCUGGGAAACUGCCCGAUGGAGGGGGAUAACUACUGGAAACGGUAGCUAAUACCGCAUAACGUCGCAAGACCAAAGAGGGGGACAUUAGGGCCUCUUGCCAUCGGAUGUGCCCAGAUGGGAUUAGCUAGUAGGUGGGGUAACGGCUCACCUAGGCGACGAUCCCUAGCUGGUCUGAGAGGAUGACCAGCCACACUGGAACUGAGACACGGUCCAGACUCCUACGGGAGGCAGCAGUGGGGAAUAUUGCACAAUGGGCGCAAGCCUGAUGCAGCCAUGCCGCGUGUAUGAAGAAGGCCUUCGGGUUGUAAAGUACUUUCGGCGGGGAGGAAGGGAGUAAAGUUAAUACCUUUGCUCAUUGACGUUACCCGCAGAAGAAGCACCGGCUAACUCCGUG
rnacentral:rRNA from 1 species